GUAAAUAUAGUUUAUAAAAACCCUAGUUUGUGAAACUAGAAAUGGACCUUUACAAGUCCUAUUUACC
rnacentral:tRNA from 1 species